UCUGCUCAGGACGAACGCUGGCGGCGUGCCUAAUACAUGCAAGUCGAGCGGACAGAAGGGAGCUUGCUCCCGGAUGUUAGCGGCGGGACGGGUGAGUAACACGUGGGUAACCUGCCUGUAAGACUGGGAUAACUCCGGGAAACCGGAGCUAAUACCGGAUAGUUCCUUGAACCGCAUGGUUCAAGGAUGAAAGACGGUUUCGGCUGUCACUUACAGAUGGACCCGCGGCGCAUUAGCUAGUUGGUGGGGUAAUGGCUCACCAAGGCGACGAUGCGUAGCCGACCUGAGAGGGUGAUCGGCCACACUGGGACUGAGACACGGCCCAGACUCCUACGGGAGGCAGCAGUAGGGAAUCUUCCGCAAUGGACGAAAGUCUGACGGAGCAACGCCGCGUGAGUGAUGAAGGUUUUCGGAUCGUAAAGCUCUGUUGUUAGGGAAGAACAAGUGCGAGAGUAACUGCUCGCACCUUGACGGUACCUAACCAGAAAGCCACGGCUAACUACGUGCCAGCAGCCGCGGUAAUACGUAGGUGGCAAGCGUUGUCCGGAAUUAUUGGGCGUAAAGGGCUCGCAGGCGGUUUCUUAAGUCUGAUGUGAAAGCCCCCGGCUCAACCGGGGAGGGUCAUUGGAAACUGGGAAACUUGAGUGCAGAAGAGGAGAGUGGAAUUCCACGUGUAGCGGUGAAAUGCGUAGAGAUGUGGAGGAACACCAGUGGCGAAGGCGACUCUCUGGUCUGUAACUGACGCUGAGGAGCGA
rnacentral:rRNA from 1 species